rnacentral:rRNA from 1 species
CAGCCGCCGCGGUAAAACGAAGGGUGCAAGCGUUAAUCGGAAUUACUGGGCGUAAAGCGUGCGUAGGCGGUGAGUUAAGUCUGCUGUGAAAUCCCCGGGCUCAACCUGGGAAUGGCAGUGGAUACUGGCUCGCUAGAGUGUGUCAGAGGAUGGUGGAAUUCCCGGUGUAGCGGUGAAAUGCGUAGAGAUCGGGAGGAACAUCAGUGGCGAAGGCGGCCAUCUGGGACAACACUGACGCUGAGGCACGAAAGCGUGGGGAGCAAACAGGAUUAGAUACCCGAGUAGUCCCUGUCUCUUAUAC